UCAAGUGACUAAGCGCAUACGGUGGAUGCCUUGGCAGUCAGAGGCGAUGAAGGACGUAGUAGCCUGCGAUAUGCUUCGGGGAGUCGGCAAACAGACUUUGAUCCGGAGAUUUCCGAAUGGGGAAACCCACCCUUUACGGGUAUCUUACACUGAAUACAUAGGUGUAAGAGGCGAACCCGGGGAACUGAAACAUCUAAGUACCCGGAGGAAAAGAAAUCAAUUGAGAUUCCCACAGUAGCGGCGAGCGACCUGGGAUCAGCCCUAAAGAACUUGGUGUGAUAGUGAAACGGUCUGGAAAGUCCGGCGAUACAGGGUGAUAGCCCCGUACACGAAAUCUAUCCUUGUUUUAUUCGAGUAGGUCGGGACACGUGUUAUCUUGACUGAACAUGGGGGGACCAUCCUCCAAGGCUAAAUACUACUGACUGACCGAUAGUGAACCAGUACCGUGAGGGAAAGGCGAAAAGAACCCCGGAGAGGGGAGUGAAAUAGAACCUGAAACCGUAUGCGUACAAGCAGUGGGAGCACCUUCGUGGUGUGACUGCGUACCUUUUGUAUAAUGGGUCAGCGACUUAUUGUCUGUAGCAAGCUUAACCGUUUAGGGGAGGCGUAGGGAAACCGAGUCUUAAUAGGGCGCAUAGUUGCAGGCAAUAGACCCGAAACCGGGCGAUCUAUCCAUGGCCAGGUUGAAGGUGCCGUAACAGGCACUGGAGGACCGAACCCACUAACGUUGAAAAGUUAGGGGAUGAGCUGUGGAUCGGAGUGAAAGGCUAAUCAAGCUCGGAGAUAGCUGGUUCUCCUCGAAAUCUAUUUAGGUAGAGCGUCGUGUCUUACCCUGGGGGGUAGAGCACUGUUUGGGCUAGGGGGUCAUCCCGACUUACCAAACCCAUGCAAACUCCGAAUACCCAGGAGUACAAUCACGGCAGACAGACAGCGGGUGCUAACGUCCGUUGUCAAGAGGGAAACAACCCAGACCGCCAGCUAAGGUCCCAAAUACCAAUUAAGUGGGAAACGAUGUGGGAAGGCUUAGACAGCUAGGAGGUUGGCUUAGAAGCAGCCAUCCUUUAAAGAAAGCGUAAUAGCUCACUAGUCGAGUCGGCCUGCGCGGAAGAUGUAACGGGGCUAAAUUGGUAACCGAAGCUGCGGAUGCGUGCUUGCACGCAUGGUAGAGGAGCGUUCUGUAAGCCGUUGAAGGUGAACCGAGAGGUUUGCUGGAGGUAUCAGAAGUGCGAAUGCUGACAUGAGUAACGACAAGGGGAGUGAAAAACUCCCCCGCCGGAAGAUCAAGGUUUCCUACGCAACGCUAAUCGGCGUAGGGUGAGUCGGCCCCUAAGGCGAGGGAGAAAUCCGUAGUCGAUGGGAAACAGGUUAAUAUUCCUGUACUUUUUCUUACUGCGAUGGAGGGACGGAGAAGGCUAGGCCAGCACGGCGAUGGUAGUCCGUGUUUAAGGUAGUAGGCUGGAAUCUUAGGUAAAUCCGGGAUUCUAAGGCCGAGAACUGAUGACGAGUCCUCUUUUGGACGAAGUGGUUGAUGCCAUGCUUCCAGGAAAAGCUUCUAAGCUUCAGGUAAGAAAGAACCGUACUGUAAACCGACACAGGUGAUCAGGUAGAGAAUACCAAGGCGCUUGAGAGAACUCGGGUGAAGGAACUAGGCAAAAUGGUACCGUAACUUCGGGAGAAGGUACGCCGGUUUUGGUGAUGAGACUUGCUCUCUAAGCUGAGGCCGGCCGAAGUGACCAGGUGGCUGCGACUGUUUAUUAAAAACAUAGCACUCUGCAAACACGUAAGUGGACGUAUAGGGUGUGACGCCUGCCCGGUGCCGGAAGGUUAAUUGAUGGGGUUAGCUUAUGCGAAGCUCUUGAUCGAAGCCCCGGUAAACGGCGGCCGUAACUAUAACGGUCCUAAGGUAGCGAAAUUCCUUGUCGGGUAAGUUCCGACCUGCACGAAUGGCGUAACGAUGGCCACACUGUCUCCACCCGAGACUCAGUGAAAUUGAAAUCGCGGUGAAGAUGCCGUGUACCCGCGGCUAGACGGAAAGACCCCGUGAACCUUUACUAUAGCUUCACACUGGACUUUGACUUUAUUUGUGUAGGAUAGCUGGGAGGCUUUGAACUAUGGACGCCAGUUCAUAGGGAGCCAACCUUGAAAUACCAGCCUGAUAACGUUGAGGUUCUAACCUAGGUCCAUUAU
rnacentral:rRNA from 1 species